CUCUGUGACUCCUACGGGAGGCAGCAGUGGGGAAUAUUGCACAAUGGGGGAAACCCUGAUGCAGCCAUGCCGCGUGUGUGAAGAAGGCCUUCGGGUUGUAAAGCACUUUCAGUAGGGAGGAAGGUAGUGUAGUUAACACCUGCACUAUUUGACGUUACCUACAGAAGAAGCACCGGCUAACUCCGUGCCAGCAGCCGCGGUAAUACGGAGGGUGCGAGCGUUAAUCGGAAUUACUGGGCGUAAAGCGCAUGCAGGCGGCCUGUUAAGUCAGAUGUGAAAGCCCGGGGCUUAACCUCGGAAUUGCAUUUGAAACUGGCAGGCUAGAGUCUUGUAGAGGGGGUAGAAUUUCAGGUGUAGCGGUGAAAUGCGUAGAGAUCUGAAGGAAUACCAGUGGCGAAGGCGGCCCCCUGGACAAAGACUGACGCUCAGAUGCGAAAGCGUGGGGAGCAAACAGGAUUAGAUACCCUGUAG
rnacentral:rRNA from 1 species